rfam:Chaetomium globosum CBS 148.51 scaffold_6 genomic scaffold, whole genome shotgun sequence.
GCCUGAUUAGCACAGGGGUAAUGCGUUGCACUCGUACCGCCUAGAGAUGCAAAGAUCACUGGUUCGAUUCCAGUAUCAGGCA